rnacentral:rRNA from 1 species
GAUGAACGCUGGCGGCGUGCCUAAUACAUGCAAGUCGAGCGAACAGACGAGGAGCUUGCUCCUCUGACGUUAGCGGCGGACGGGUGAGUAACACGUGGAUAACCUACCUAUAAGACUGGGAUAACUUCGGGAAACCGGAGCUAAUACCGGAUAAUAUAUUGAACUGCAUGGUUCAAUAGUGAAAGACGGUUUUGCUGUCACUUAUAGAUGGAUCCGCGCCGCAUUAGCUAGUUGGUAAGGUAACGGCUUACCAAGGCAACGAUGCGUAGCCGACCUGAGAGGGUGAUCGGCCACCCGGGAACUGAGACACGGUCCAGACUCCUGCGGGAGGCAGCAGUAGGAAAUCUUCCGCAAUGGGCGAAAGCCUGACGGAGCAACGCCGCGUGAAUGAUGAAGGUCUUCGGAUCGUAAAACUCUGUUAUUAGGGAAGAACAAAUGUGUAAGUACCUAUGCACGUCUUGACGGUACCUAAUCAGAAAGCCACGGCUAACUACGUG